rnacentral:sRNA from 1 species
GACCUUGAUGUUCAUUUUUUUUUUUUGUAUCCCUAACAUCUAGCAAGGGACCCAGCACUUGGUAAAUGUUCACUGAAUGAAAUGAGGGGUGUAGCUUUCUGCCCUGAGUCCUGCUAUUCCCCUGCAGGGAGUGCUGCUGUAUGGACCUCCAGGCACUGGGAAGACACUGUUGGCCCGGGCUGUGGCUCAUCAUACGGACUGUACCUUUAUUCGUGUCUCUGGCUCUGAAUUGGUACAGAAAUUCAUAGGGGAAGGGGCAAGAAUGGUGAGGGAGCUGUUUGUCAUGGCACGGGAACAUGCUCCGUCUAUCAUCUUCAUGGACGAAAUCGACUCCAUCGGCUCCUCGCGGCUGGAGGGGGGUUCUGGAGGGGACAGUGAAGUGCAGCGCACGAUGCUGGAGUUGCUCAACCAGCUCGACGGCUUUGAGGCCACCAAGAACAUCAAGGUUAUCAUGGCUACUAAUAGGAUUGAUAUCCUGGACUCGGCACUGCUUCGCCCAGGGCGCAUUGACAGAAAAAUUGAAUUCCCACCCCCCAAUGAGGAGGUUUGUGAUGGGCACUGUGCAAAGUGGCUCUGACUGUGGGGGUGGGGUGUGGGGCUCAGGCCUUUCCUUGCCAUCUCCAGGCCCGGCUGGACAUUUUG